AUCGAACGCUGGCGGCAGGCCUAACACAUGCAAGUCGAACGAGUGGCGGACGGGCGAGUAAUUGCUGGGAAACUGCCCAAUGGAGGGGGAUAAGUAGUGUAAACGGUAGCUAAUACUGCAUACGAUCGUUUCUGCUGAGAGGGGAUGAGCUAGUGGGGGGGGUAAUGGCUCACCAAGGCGACGAUGCCUAGCUGGUCUGAGAGGGUGACCAGCCACACGGGAACUGAGACACGGUCCAGACUCCUACGGGAGGCAGCAGUGGGGAAUAUUGCACAAUGGGCGCAAGCCUGAUACAGCCAUGCCGCGUGUAUGAAGAAGGCCUUCGGAUCGUAAAGUACUUUUAUCAGGGAAGCGUUACCCGCAGAAGAAGCACCGGCUAACUCCGUGCCAGCAGCCGCGGUAAUUC
rnacentral:rRNA from 1 species